rnacentral:rRNA from 1 species
ACUCCUACGGGAGGCAGCAGUAAGGAAUAUUGGACAAUGGGCGCAAGCCUGAUCCAGCCAUGCCGCGUGAAGGAUUAAGGUCCUCUGGAUUGUAAACUUCUUUUAUAAGGGACGAAAAAAGGGAAUUCUUUCUCACUUGACGGUACCUUAUGAAUAAGCACCGGCUAACUCCGUGCCAGCAGCCGCGGUAAUACGGAGGGUGCAAGCGUUAUCCGGAUUCACUGGGUUUAAAGGGUGCGUAGGCGGGUAUUUAAGUCAGUGGUGAAAUCCUAGAGCUUAACUCUAGAACUGCCAUUGAUACUAUUUAUCUUGAAUAUUGUGGAGGUAAGCGGAAUAUGUCAUGUAGCGGUGAAAUGCUUAGAUAUGACAUAGAACACCUAUUGCGAAGGCAGCUUACUACGCAUAUAUUGACGCUGAGGCACGAAAGCGUGGGGAUCAAACAGGAUUAGAUACCCUGGUAGUCCACGCCCUAAACGAUGGAUACUCGACAUACGCGAUACACUGUGUGUGUCUGAGCGAAAGCAUUAAGUAUCCCACCUGGGAAGUACGACCGCAAGGUUGAAACUCAAAGGAAUUGGCGGGGGUCCGCACAAGCGGUGGAGCAUGUGG